UCUCAGUGAUGAACAAAUAUGAUGACGAGUCCGAUCAAUCCAUUCGUUUUUUUAACCCGUGACGACAAAUCGAGGCAUUUGUCUGAGAGAA